UACGGGGGGAGCAAGCGUUGUUCGGAUUUACUGGGCGUAAAGGGCGCGUAGGCGGUCAGCACAGUCAGUUGUGAAAUCUCCGAGCUUAACUCGGAAAGGUCAACUGAUACUGUGCGACUAGAGUGCAGAAGGGGCAACUGGAAUUCUCGGUGUAGCGGUGAAAUGCGUAGAUAUCGAGAGGAACACCUGCGGCGAAGGCGGGUUGCUGGGCUGACACUGACGCUGAGGCGCGAAAGCUAGGGGAGCGAACGGG
rnacentral:rRNA from 1 species